GACGAACGCUGGCGGCGUGCUUAACACAUGCAAGUCGAACGGAAAGGCCCUGCUUUUGUGGGGUGCUCGAGUGGCGAACGGGUGAGUAACACGUGAGUAACCUGCCCUUGACUUUGGGAUAACUUCAGGAAACUGGGGCUAAUACCGGAUAGGAGCUCCUGCUGCAUGGUGGGGGUUGGAAAGUUUCGGCGGUUGGGGAUGGACUCGCGGCUUAUCAGCUUGUUGGUGGGGUAGUGGCUUACCAAGGCUUUGACGGGUAGCCGGCCUGAGAGGGUGACCGGCCACAUGGGAACUGAGAUACGGCCCAGACUCCUAGGGGGGGCAGCAGGGGGGAAUAUUGCACAAGGGGCGGAAGCCUGAUGCGGCAACGCCGCGUGCGGGAUGACGGCCUUCGGGUUGUAAACCGCUUUCGCCUGUGACGAAGCGGGAGUGACGGUAAUGGGUAAAGAAGCACCGGCUAACUACGU
rnacentral:rRNA from 1 species